rnacentral:rRNA from 1 species
UCUACGGUGGGCAGCAGUGGGGAAUAUUGCACAAUGGGGGAAACCCUGAUGCAGCAACGCCGCGUGGGUGAAGAAGUAUUUCGGUAUGUAAAGCCCUAUCAGCAGGGAAGAGAAUGACGCUACCUGACUAAGAAGCCCCGGCGAACUGCGUGCCAGCAGCCGCGGUAACACGUAGGGGGCAAGCGUGAUCCGGAUUUACUGGGUGUAAAGGGAGCGUAGGCGGUUGUGCAAGUCUGAAGGGAAAGCCCGGGGCUCAAAUGCGGAACGGCUUUGGAAACUGUGUUACUGGAGUGCGGGAGAGGUAGGCGGAAUACGUGGUGUAGCGGUGAAAUGCGUAGAGAUCAGGAGGAACACCGGCGGCGAAGGCGGCUUACUGGACAGUAACUGACGUUGAGGCUCGAAAGCGUGGGGAGCAAACAGGAUUAGAUACCCCGGUAGUC